rnacentral:rRNA from 1 species
ACUUCCAAGGAAGGCAGCAGGCGCGCAAACUUACCCUAAUCUCGAUUCGAGGAGGUAGUGACAAGAAAUACCGAUGCGGGACCCUACGGGUGCCGCGUUCGGAAUGAGUACGAUUCGAACCACCUAACGAGGAACGAUCGGAGGGCAAGUCUGGUGCCAGCAGCCGCGGUAAUUCCAGCUCCAAUAGCGUACGUUAAAAGUUGCUGCAGUUAAAAAAGCUCGUAGUUGAACGUUCGGGGUUCCGCGGGACGGGGCCGCCCCGCGAGGGACGGCGCCGCCCCCGGGGGCUCGUGAUAUCUCAUCUCGCCGCCCGUCGCGAGGCGGACGGAGGGAUGGAUGAGGUUACCUGGAAAAAAAUCGGGGGCGAAUCUAAGGCGGGCGAAACCUCCGCCCAAACCGAAACCGAAUUACCGGGAACCAAUAGGGGAUAAACGGAAGAGGGCG